AGAUACCAGCUGGCUGCAACUGUUUAUUAAAAACACAGCACUGUGCAAACACGAAAGUGGACGUAUACGGUGUGACGCCUGCCCGGUGCCGGAAGGUUAAUUGAUGGGGUUAUCCGUAAGGAGAAGCUCUUGAUCGAAGCCCCGGUAAACGGCGGCCGUAACUAUAACGGUCCUAAGGUAGCGAAAUUCCUUGUCGGGUAAGUUCCGACCUGCACGAAUGGCGUAAUGAUGGCCAGGCUGUCUCCACCCGAGACUCAGUGAAAUUGAACUCGCUGUGAAGAUGCAGUGUACCCGCGGCAAGACGGAAAGACCCCGUGAACCUUUACUAUAGCUUGACACUGAACACUGGUCCUUGAUGUGUAGGAUAGGUGGGAGGCUUUGAAGUGUGGACGCCAGUCUGCAUGGAGCCAUCCUUGAAAUACCACCCUUUAAUGGCUGGUGUUCUAACGUAGACCCGUAAUCCGGGUUGCGGACAGUGUCUGGUGGGUAGUUUGACUGGGGCGGUCUCCUCCUAAAGAGUAACGGAGGAGCACGAAGGUUAGCUAAUCCUGGUCGGACAUCAGGAGGUUAGUGCAAAGGCAUAAGCUAGCUUGACUGCGAGAGUGACGGCUCGAGCAGGUGCGAAAGCAGGUCUUAGUGAUCCGGUGGUUCUGAAUGGAAGGGCCAUCGCUCAACGGAUAAAAGGUACUCCGGGGAUAACAGGCUGAUACCGCCCAAGAGUUCAUAUCGACGGCGGUGUUUGGCACCUCGAUGUCGGCUCAUCACAUCCUGGGGCUGAAGUAGGUCCCAAGGGUAUGGCUGUUCGCCAUUUAAAGUGGUACGCGAGCUGGGUUUAGAACGUCGUGAGACAGUUCGGUCCCUAUCUGCCGUGGGCGCUGGAGAAUUGAGGGGGGCUGCUCCUAGUACGAGAGGACCGGAGUGGACGCAUCACUGGUGUUCGGGUUGUCAUGCCAAUGGCAUUGCCCGGUAGCUAAAUGCGGAAGAGAUAAGUGCUGAAAGCAUCUAAGCACGAAACUUGCCCCGAGAUGAGUUCUCCCUGACCCUUUAAGGGUCCUGAAGGAACGUUGAAGACGACGACGUUGAUAGGUCGGGUGUGUAAGUGUAGCGAUACAUUGAGCUAACCGAUACUAAUGAACCGUGAGGCUUAACCUUACAA
rnacentral:rRNA from 1 species